UACGAAGGGGGCUAGCGUUGCUCGGAAUCACUGGGCGUAAAGCGCACGUAGGCGGCUUUCUAAGUCAGGGGUGAAAUCCUGGAGCUCAACUCCAGAACUGCCUUUGAUACUGGAGAGCUAGAGUCCGGAAGAGGUGAGUGGAACUGCGAGUGUAGAGGUGAAAUUCGUAGAUAUUCGGAAGAACACCAGUGGCGAAGGCGGCUCACUGGUCCGGUACUGACGCUGAGGUGCGAAAGCGUGGGGAGCAAACAGG
rnacentral:rRNA from 1 species